AGCCUUUGUGUUGCCCGUUCACUUUCGGAAACUAGUGAAUGUGGUGUCAAAAAAGGCGUAAAUUAAACCCUUUGCAGCCAUUUUCUGCCCUUGAAUUUGAUUUCUUUGGUGUAGGAGCUGCGUAAGUUACAGUU
ensembl:snoRNA SNORA13 small nucleolar RNA SNORA13